rnacentral:rRNA from 1 species
UCGAGAGGCUUCGGCAAUGGGGGAAACCCUGACCGAGCGACGCCGCGUGGAGGAUGAAGGCCUUUGGGUCGUAAACUCCUUUCGUGGGGAAAGAAUGUGUCCGGGGUAAAUAAUCCCGGGCAUUGACGGUACCCCAAGAAGAAGCCCCGGCCAACUCUGUGCCAGCAGCCGCGGUAAGACAGAGGGGGCAAGCGUUGCUCGGAAUCACUGGGCGUAAAGGGCGCGUAGGCGGGAUGGCAAGUCAGUCGUGAAAUCUCUCGGCUCAACCGAGAAACGUCGGCUGAUACUGCCGUUCUUGAGGGAUGCAGAGGAGACUGGAAUUCCCGGUGUAGCGGUGAAAUGUGUAGAGAUCGGGAGGAACACCGGUGGCGAAGGCGGGUCUCUGGGCAUUUCCUGACGCUGAGGCGCGAAAGCGUGGGGAGCAAACGGG